rnacentral:rRNA from 1 species
AGCGAACGCUGGCGGCAGGCUUAACACAUGCAAGUCGAGCGGGCAUCCUUGUGGUGUCAGCGGCAGACGGGUGAGUAACGCGUGGGAACGUGCCCUUCGGUUCGGAAUAACUCAGGGAAACUUGAGUUAAUACCGGAUACGUGCGAGAGCAGAAAGGUUUAUCUGCCGAAGGAUCGGCCCGCGUCUGAUUAGCUAGUUGGUGAGGUUAUGGCUCACCAAGGCGACGAUCAGUAGCUGGUCUGAGAGGAUGAUCAGCCACACUGGGACUGAGACACGGCCCAGACUCCUACGGGAGGCAGCAGUGGGGAAUAUUGGACAAUGGGGGCAACCCUGAUCCAGCCAUGCCGCGUGAGUGAUGACGGCCUUAGGGUUGUAAAGCUCUUUUCUCCGGGACGAUAAUGACGGUACCGGAGGAAUAAGCCCCGGCUAACUUCGUG